ACGGAGGAUCCGAGCGUUAUCCGGAGUGACUGGGCGUAAAGAGUUGCGUAGGGGGUUUGUUAAGCGAAUAGUGAAAUCUUGUGGCUCAACCAUAAGGCUAUUGUUCGAACUGGCAAACUUGAGAAUAUGAGAGGUAGAUGGAAUUCCCAGUGUAGGAGUGAAAUCCGUAGAUAUUGGGAGGAACACCAAUGGCGUAGGCAGUCUACUGGCAUAUUUCUGACCCUGAGGCACGAAAGCGUGGGGAGCGAACCGGA
rnacentral:rRNA from 1 species